rnacentral:rRNA from 1 species
UACGGGGGGGGCAAGCGUUGUUCGGAAUUACUGGGCGUAAAGGGCUCGUAGGUGGCCAACUAAGUCAGACGUGAAAUCCCUCGGCUUAACCGGGGAACUGCGUCUGAUACUGGAUGGCUGGAGUUUGGGAGAGGGAUGCGGAAUUCCAGGUGUAGCGGUGAAAUGCGUAGAUAUCUGGAGGAACACCGGUGGCGAAGGCGGCAUCCUGGACCAACUCUGACGCUGAGGAGCGAAAGCCAGGGGAGCAAACGGG